rnacentral:rRNA from 1 species
CCUACGGGUGGCAGCAGUGGGGGAUAUUGCACAAUGGGGGGAACCCUGAUGCAGCGACGCCGCGUGGGUGAAGGAGCGUUUCGGCGCGUAAAGCCCUAUCGGCAGGGAAGAAGAUGACGGUGCCUGACCAAGAAGCCCCGGCUAACUACGUGCCAGCAGCCGCGGUCAUACGUAGGGGGCAAGCGUUAUCCGGAUAUACGGGGGGGAAAGGGGGCGCAGACGGCAAGGCAAGCCAGGAGUGAAAGCCCGGGGCCCAACCCCGGGACUGCGUUUGAAACUGGAGUGCUGGAGUGCAGGAGAGGCAGGCGGAAUUCCUAGUGUAGCGGUGAAAUGCGUAGAUAUUAGGAGGAACACCAGUGGCGAAGGCGGCCUUCUGGACUGUGACUGACGUUGAGGCCCGAAGGCGUGGGGAGCAAACAGGAUUAGAUACCCUAGUAGUC